rnacentral:rRNA from 1 species
GAUGAACGCUGGCGGCGUGCCUAACACAUGCAAGUCGAACGGCCGCACAAUAAGCUUUCUUCUCUGAUGUUAGCGGCGGACGGGUGAGUAACACGUGGAUAACCUACCUCUAUUACUGGGGUAACAUCGGGAAACCGCAUCUACUACUGGCUGAUAUUUUCAACCGCUUGGUUCAAAGGUGCUAGACACUCUUGCUGUCACUUAUAGAUGGUUCCGCGCUGCAUUAGCUAGUUGGUAAGGUAACGGCUUACCAAGGCAACGAUGCGUAGCCGAUCUGAGAGGGUGAUCGGCCACACUGGAACUGAGACACGGUCCAGACUCCUACGGGAGGCAGCAGUAGGGAAUCUUGCGCAAUGGGCGAAAGCCUGACGGAGCAACGCCGCGUGAGUGAUGAAGGUCUUCGGAUCGUAAAGCUCUGUUAUUAGGGAAGAAAAGAUGUGUAAGAAACUCUGGACAUCUUGACGGUACCUAAUCAGAAAGCCACGGCUAACUACGUG